AUUAAAUAAUUGAUUAAUCAAAAAGGUUCCUGACUGUUUGUUUUGCUAAUUGUUUGGCUCUUCUUCUCCCAUGCCUGAAUGAUAUAUGGUGAGAGGAAAGAGAAUUUUCAGCUAGGAAGAAAAUUAAUUUGCAAGACAAGUUUCCUUAUGAUGCAAAGAAAGAAAUCUUUAACCAGUUGGAGAUGGAGAUUAAUCCAUGUUUCUUUUCUAAAAGGGAAGAUAUGAAGGGGAAGAGGAGGAGUCUAUGGUUGAAUUCCAGCAGUACCCU
rnacentral:lncRNA from 1 species